rnacentral:rRNA from 1 species
UACGAAGGGGACUAGCGUUGUCCGGAAUUAUUGGGCGUAAAGAGCUUGUAGGCGGUUUGUCGCGUCUGCUGUGAAAAUCCGGGGCUCAACCCCGGACUUGCAGUGGGUACGGGCAGACUGGAGUGUGGUAGGGGAGACUGGAAUUCCUGGUGUAGCGGUGGAAUGCGCAGAUAUCAGGAGGAACACCGAUGGCGAAGGCAGGUCUCUGGGCCACUACUGACGCUGAGAAGCGAAAGCAUGGGGAGCGAACAGG